rnacentral:lncRNA from 10 species
AGGCGCAGGCACCGCCCCACGGCGAGGCGCGUCGCUUAGCAGAGCCCGCCCUGUCUCUGCGGCAGCCUAUCGACGCCAGCCCGCGGGCCGAUCCUGUUCCCGCCCCCGACCGGAGCCUUUCGGGUGGCUCCGCCCACAGCGGGCGUUUCCUCAAGCCACGCCUGCGCAGGUCGUCGGGGGAGACUGAUGAAGAGACGACUAUCCCCAGACCGUAUUUUAACUACUAUGGCGCUGUGUAAGAAGCAACCUGAGAAGUGUGGAUGAAAAGCUACAGCAUCAUUUUCUUUUCCAAAAUUCAAAUCCGAAAAACAAUCGAAGUCAAGCCUUCUUCAUUUAACCUUUCUAAGAGACUGCAGAGUGAGGAUGAGUAAAGAAAUUAUAGAGUUCAUCUUUCAUCUUUUCCAACAUACUUCAGAAGAAGACAAAAACAGCAAAGCCACAUACUCUUAAGAACAAGGCUAGGCUUAACCACAGGCAUCCUGACCUCAAGUCCUGUGUCAAAGUUCCACCUACAAUGUGGCCCCACAGGGCUAAUCCUUGACAGAAACACUGGAAGGAUUUCUUCUCUGCAAAACUACCCUCUUCCUUCACGCUGAAUCAUCAGAAAGAGGAGCCGGCUGCAUCCCUAAAUUCAUCCCUUAUUUUAAUUAACCCAAGGAUGACAUGGAGGCCUUGGAGACCCUAUACAGUGCUGUGUGUUCAGCAGUAAAUAUCCACCCAUUGUAGUCAGGAGCCAGCAUCUUCAUCAUCCUUUCUUGUUAGAACAAACUUGUCCAACCCAUGGCCCAUGGGCCACAUGUGGCCUAGGACGGCUUUGAAUGCGGCCCAACACAAAUUUGUAAAGUUUCUUAAAACAUUAGGAGAUUUUUU